rnacentral:lncRNA from 1 species
UUUUAUUUCAGGUUUCUCAGCUGAGGAAAUGGCCGCCUAUACUCGCAUCCAGCGGGCUUUCCUUGGACCAGGAGGAAGCGACUGGGCUUGGAGAGGAUGUAGGCGUAAAGAUUGCUGAGGGCGUGGCAUUUUGGGCGCCCCCGUGUCAAAACAUCAGACCACGGUCAAGCAGCUGCUGGUCCGGCCGCCUGAAGGUGAGAAUAUGUAUUUGUUGACAUUUGUUUUUGUAUUUGCUUUUAUUUAUUCAUUUUUUAUUUCAGAUUUCUGUGCAGGGCAGCGUCUUCGAUGUUGAAUUGGGUGCUGUUGCUGCUGCUGCUGAGGCUGAUUGGUAAGUAUGUGUUUUUGUUGUUUUAUUUGCGUAUUUUUUGGUAAUUAAUUGACUUUUCUUUUAUUUCAGGUUUCUCAGCUGAGGAAAUGGCCGCCUAUACUCGCAUCCAGCGGGCUUUCCUUGGACCAGGAGGAAGCGACUGGGCUUGGAGUGGAUGUAGGCGUAAAGAUUGCUGAGGGCGUGGUAUUUUUUGGGCGCCCCCGUGUCAAACAUCAGGCCACGGUCAAGCGGCUGCUGGUCCGGCCGCCUGGAGGUGAGAAUAUGUAUUUGUUGACAUUUGUUUUUGUAUUUGCUUUUAUUUAUUCAUUUUUUUUAAUUCAGAUUUCUGUGCAGGGCAGCGUCUUCGAUGUUGAAUUGGGUGCUGUUGCUGCUGCUGCUGCUGCUGGUUGGUAAGUAUGUGUUUUUGUUCUUUUGUUUGUAUAUUUUUGGUAAUUAAUUGACUUUUCUUUUAUUUCAGGUUUCACAGCUGAGGAAAUGGCCGCCUAUACUCGCAUCCAGCGGGCUUUCCUUGGACCAGGAGGAAGCGACUGGGUUUGGAGUGGAUGAAGGCGUGGAAAUUGCUGAGGGCGUGGCAUUUUGGGAGCCCCCCGUGUGAAACAUCAGACCACGAAUCAAGCGGCUGCUGGUCCGGCCGCCUGGAGGUGAGAAUAUGUAUUUGUUGACAUUUGUUUUUGUAUUUGCUUUUAUUUAUUCAUUUUUUAUUUCAGAUUUCUGUGCAGGGCAGCGUCUUCGAUGUUGAUUUGAGUGCUGUUUCUGCUGCUGCUGCUGCUGGUUGGUAAGUAUGUGUUUUUGUUGUUUUGUUUGUACUUUUUUGGUAAUUAAUUGACUUUUCUUUUAUUUCAGGUUUCACAGCUGAGGAAAUGGCCGCCUAUACUCGCAUCCAGCGGGCUUUCCUUGGACCAGGAGGAAGCGACUGGGUUUGGAGUGGAUGAAGGCGUGGAAAUUGCUGAGGGCGUGGCAUUUUGGGAGCCCCCCGUGUCAAACAUCAGACCACGAAUCAAGCGGCUGCUGGUCCGGCCGCCUGGAGGUGAGAAUAUGUAUUUGUUGACAUUUGUUUUUGUAUUUGCUUUUAUUUAUUCAUUUUUUAUUUCAGAUUUCUGUGCAGGGCAGCGUCUUCGAUGUUGAAUUGGGUGCUGUUGCUGCUGCUGCUGCUGCUGGUUGGUAAGUAUGUGUUUUUGUUGUUUUAUUUGCGUAUUUUUUGGUAAUUAAUUGACUUUUCUUUUAUUUCAGGUUUCUCAGCUGAAGAAAUGGCCGCCUAUACUCGCAUCCAGCGGGCUUUCCUUGGACCAGGAGGAAGCGACUGGGCUUGGAGUGGAU